rnacentral:rRNA from 1 species
GACGAGGGAUCCUAGCGUUGUUCGGAAUCAUUGGGCGUAAAGCGGGUGCAGGUGGCUAUGUAAGUCAGGUGUGAAAGCCUAGGGCUCAACCCUAGAAGUGCAUUUGAUACUGCGUAGCUUGAGUGGUAGAGAGGAUAGUAGAAUUCUUGGUGUAGUGGUGAAAUACGUAGAUAUCAAGAGGAAUACCGGAGGCGAAGGCGGCUAUCUGGCUACACACUGACACUCAGACCCGAAAGUGCGGGGAUCAAACAGG